rnacentral:rRNA from 1 species
GGAGUUAGCCGGUGCUUCUUCUGUGAGUGAUGUCCUUCCUGCCGGCUAUUAACCCGCAGGCCUUCUUCCUCACUGAAAGUGCUUUACAACCCGAAGGCCUUCUUCACACACGCGGCAUGGCUGGAUCAGGGUUGCCCCCAUUGUCCAAUAUUCCCCACUGCUGCCUCCCGUAGGAGUCUGGGCCGUGUCUCAGUCCCAGUGUGGCUGAUCAUCCUCUCAGACCAGCUACGGAUCGUCGCCUUGGUGAGCCGUUACCUCACCAACCAGCUAAUCCGACAUAGGCUCAUCCGAUAGCGCGAGGCCCGAAGGUCCCCCGCUUUCCCCCGUAGGGCGUAUGCGGUAUUAGCCUGGGUUUCCCCAGGUUAUCCCCCACUACCGGGCAGAUUCCUAUGCAUUACUCACCCGUCCGCCGCUCGCCACCAGGAGCAAGCUCCCCGUGCUGCCGCUCGACUUGCAUGUGUAGCUCGCCGCCACGCGUCAUCUGAGCGAGAUACAACUACUGA